UAAGGAAUCUUCCACAAUGGGGGCAACCCUGAUGGAGCAACACCGCGUGAAGGAUGAAGGCCCUCGGGUCGUAAACUUCUUUUAUAAGUGAGGAAUAUGACGGUAACUUAUGAAUAAGGGUCGGCUAACUACGUGCCAGCAGCCGCGGUCAUACGUAGGACCCAAGCGUUAUCCGGAGUGACUGGGCGUAAAGAGUUGCGUAGGCGGUCGUAUAAGCGAAUAGUGAAAUCUGGUGGCUCAACCAUCAACCCAUUGUUCGAACUGUACGACUCGAGAAUGGUAGAGGUAACUGGAAUUUCGUGUGUAGGAGUGAAAUCCGUAGAUAUACGAAGGAACACCAAUGGCGUAGGCAGGUUACUGGACCAUUUCUGACGCUGAGGCACGAAAGCGUGGGGAGCGAACCGG
rnacentral:rRNA from 1 species